AUUGAACGCUGGCGGCAGGCCUAACACAUGCAAGUCGAACGGUAACAGGAAGAAGCUUGCUUCUUUGCUGACGAGUGGCGGACGGGUGAGUAAUGUCUGGGAAACUGCCUGAUGGAGGGGGAUAACUACUGGAAACGGUAGCUAAUACCGCAUAACGUCGCAAGACCAAAGAGGGGGACCUUCGGGCCUCUUGCCAUCGGAUGUGCCCAGAUGGGAUUAGCUAGUAGGUGGGGUAACGGCUCACCUAGGCGACGAUCCCUAGCUGGUCUGAGAGGAUGACCAGCCACACUGGAACUGAGACACGGUCCAGACUCCUACGGGAGGCAGCAGUGGGGAAUAUUGCACAAUGGGCGCAAGCCUGAUGCAGCCAUGCCGUGUGUAUGAAGAAGGCCUUCGGGUUGUAAAGUACUUUCAGCGGGGAGGAAGGGAGUAAAGUUAAUACCUUUACUCAUUGACGUUACCCGCAGAAGAAGCACCGGCUAACUCCGUG
rnacentral:rRNA from 1 species